rnacentral:tRNA from 1 species
GCCUGGCUGGCUCAGUCAGUAGAGCAUUCAACUCUUGAUCUCAGGGUUGUAGGUUCGAGUCCCACGUUGGGCG